UAUUUAUUUAUUUAUUUAUUUAUUUAUUUAUUUAUUUAUUUAUUUAUUUAUUUAUUUAUUUAUUUAUUUAUUUAUUUAUUUAUUUAUUUAUUUAUUUAUUUAUUUAUUUAUUUAUUUAAUUUGUUUGUUUGUAAUGGUUUUGAUAUGCUUUUCUGAAAGAAAGAAAAAACAUUGAAAAGUAACAGUGAGAACUGUUAAACUAGUUUAUGGAUAAGUAUGCGUAUGAGACUGCAGGAGACUUGUGUGUUCAUGUUUUAGAUAACAAAAUGAAUCUAGGAGCACAAAUGAAUCAGAGUAUUUCUCACAGCAUACUAGACAAGAUUUUCCUUUGGAAAGUUGUAAAAUAGAUAAACCCUCCGGUGGUACAAUUAAGCUAAACAAUCAUCGUCAUUCAUUUGUAUCAAUAAAUAGUUAUUGUGGAAUUUGCAGAUUUUUGUGUCUUUCGAGCUGGCUGUUGUGUGGGCCGUUAUGUCCAGGCAGUGAAGACAGAGUACUUCAGUGUUCUCAGCACCACAAGUGGGAUGGCGUGUCACGAUACAAUAUUCUGUCUGUUCAAGCAGGACUCCCAGGCCUUCCACUCUCUUCUUUGUGCCAUCGUUCACUUCCUUGUUUUUAUGACAACUCAAACAGCCUACCAGUUUCUCAACAAAAGCUGGCACGUCUCCAACUUGCAGUAGUUAUUACAUAACAAUUUCAUGCUUCUAUUAAUGCUUUGUCUCGGUCUGAAGUGAUAAGCAGCUCAGCAGCAGAAGUUAUUACAGGCGCUAACAAAAGAGAAAUAACUUGUUUCUUUUAUUUUUAGUAGGUUACGUGACAUCUACCGAUGCAAUGGGACACGAGCCAGAAGGACAGCAACCGUCAAUCGAGACCUUCCUGUGUGGGUGGCACAACGUUGCCAUGAAUGGUCUACGCCCUCAUCCAGAUUGCGUCACUCCGCCCCUGCUACACUGGUCUCAUGCAGCCUUUUGUGUCACUGGAAUGUACAGUGGCGAAAGUGCCUGCAAUGUGUGCUAAUAACAUCCAGAAUGAGUCAUCUGCAGACUGAGUUUGCGUAAGAGCCAGCAGCGGCUUGUUGCGCCACACCCCAGAUUCAUUCACACGCUCCACUUUUCUGCUGCCCGGCCUCCCAUUGAUGGCCGGGGGGGAGUGCCACUCGACCUCUUCCACAAAAGCUUAGCGACUUUACAAAUGCACUUUGUUACGAGAGGAAGCGGAGGCAAUCGAUGGGCUACUUUUUGGAGCCUUCACCAAAGAAACAAAAUAAAGCAAUAAUGGAGAUUCUUGUAAAUUCCUGGAGCUUUCUUUCCCUGUAUAUAUGACUAUGGUUCACUUAAACCUUUCUAUUGUUCUCUUAACAUGAAUUGCAGGUGGAAAGUUACAAAAUCAUGCCCAAGUUCACCAUUUACAGUAUGUUUUUUCUGUGCAUGACCCCUGACAAAAUAAAAAUAUUUAUGUGUAUA